rnacentral:rRNA from 1 species
AUUGAACGCUGGCGGCAGGCCUAACACAUGCAAGUCGAGCGGUAACACAGAGGAGCUUGCUCCUUGGGUGACGAGCGGCGGACGGGUGAGUAAUGCCUGGGGAUCUGCCCGAUAGAGGGGGAUAACUACGGGAAACUGUAGCUAAUACCGCAUAAUGUCUACGGACCAAAGUGGGGGCUCUUCGGACCUCAUGCUAUCGGAUGAACCCAGGUGGGAUUAGCUAGUUGGUGAGGUAAUGGCUCACCAAGGCGACGAUCUCUAACUGGUUUGAGAGAAUGACCAGUCACACUGGAACUGAGACACGGUCCAGACUCCUACGGGAGGCAGCAGUGGGGAAUAUUGCACAAUGGGCGCAAGCCUGAUGCAGCCAUGCCGCGUGUGUGAAGAAGGCCUUCGGGUUGUAAAGCACUUUCAGCGGGGAGGAAGGGUCACUGGUUAAUACCUAGUGGCAUUGACGUUACUCGCAGAAGAAGCACCGGCUAACUCCGUGCCAGCAGCCGCGGUAAUACGGAGGGUGCAAGCGUUAAUCGGAAUUACUGNGCGUAAAGCGCACGCAGGCGGUUUGUUAAGUCAGAUGUGGAAUCCCCGAGCUCAACUUGGGAACUGCAUUUGAAACUGGCAAACUAGAGUCUUGUAGAGGGGGGUAGAAUUCC